AUGAAAUGUGGGCUGUUAAAUAUCAGGUCUCUGUCCUCUAAAGCUGUUUUAGUGAAUGAAUUAAUAUCAGAUUAUGAUAUUGAUUUACUUUGUCUUACUGAGACCUGGUUGUCCCACGAGGAGUAUGUUAGCCUAAAUGAAUCCACCCCCCCCAGUCAUAUUAAUACUCACAUUCCUCGAGGCACUGGCCGAGGAGGUGGAGUGGCAGCCAUAUAUGAUUCGAGCGUUUUAAUGGACCCUAAACCUAAACUAAAUUAUAAUUCAUUUGAAAGCCUUGUUCUUAGUCUUUCUCACCCAAACUGGAAAACACUGCAGCCAGUUCUAUUUGUUAUAGUGUACCGCGCUCCUGGACCGUACUCUGAUUUUAUAUCUGAAUUUUCAGAGUUUCUAUCAAGCUUAGUCCUUAAAUCAGAUAAAGUAAUUAUUGUAGGUGAUUUUAAUAUUCAUGUGGAUGUUGACAAUGACAGCCUUAGUAAUGCAUUUAUAUCAUUAAUAGACUCAAUUGGCUUCUGUCAGAGUGUAAAUAAACCAACUCAUUGUUUUAAUCACACUCUUGACCUUGUUUUAUCAUAUGGCAUUGAUAUUGAACAUUUAAUAGUCUUCCCACAUAAUCCUUUCCUAUCUGACCAUUAUUUAGUAACUUUUGAAUUCAUACUAUUAGAUUAUAAGCCAUUAGGCAAAACUUCCUACAGCAGAUGUCUAUCUGACAGUGCUGUAGCUAAAUUUAAGGAGGAGAUUCCUUCAGUGUUUAAUUCAAUGCCAUGUCUGAAUUUAACAGAGUCCUAUAAUGACUUUAGUCCCUCUGAAAUUGAUAAUCUUGUCGAUAGUGCUACAGGCUCACUACGAUCAACAUUAGACUCUAUCGCUCCUAUAAAAAGGAAAUUAUUAAAACAUAGGAGACUAGCACCUUGGUAUAACCACCAAACCCGCCAGUUAAAACAAAUAGCUAGAAAAUCUGAAAGGAAAUGGCGCUCUUCCAAAUUAUCAGAAUAUCGCUCAAAUUGGCAAGAUGAUCUUAAGAUUUAUAGAAAGGCCCUCCGUAAUGCCAGAGGAGCCUAUUACUCAGCACUAAUAGAAGAAAAUAAGAACAACCCUAGGUUCCUCUUCAGCACUGUAGCCAGGCUGACAGAGAGUCACAGCUCUAUCGAGCCACAUAUCCCCAUAAACUUAAGUAGCAAUGACUUCAUGAGCUUCUUCUAUAAUAAAAUUAUUACUAUUAGAGAAAAAAUUAAUCACCAACUGCCAUCAACAGUUAUCAGUGGCUCUCCAAGUUCAGGGACUUCUGUCAAUGUAAACUUAGAUAUUUAUUUAGACUGUUUUUCUGCUAUCGCUCUUCAUCAGUUAACUUCAAUCAUUUCUUCAUCGAAGCCAUCAACCGGUCUAUUAGACCCGAUCCCAACUAGGCUGCUUAAAGAAGUUGUUCCCUUAAUUGGCACUUCUGUACUGGAUAUGAUUAAUCUUUCUUUAUUAUCAGGAUAUGUACCACAGUCCUUUAAAGUAGCUGUAAUUAAACCCCUUCUUAAAAAGUCCACUCUUGACCCAGGGGUUUUAGCCAACUAUAGACCGAUUUCUAACCUCCCGUUCCUCUCUAAGAUUCUGGAGAAAGUAGUCGCCAAA
rnacentral:lncRNA from 15 species